CAAUUUCCAAAUAAAGUUUCCAUUUUUCAUGAUUUCUUGAAUUUGGGUUUUUAAACAAUGGAAAUACCGCUAGAUUCUUAUCAUUAUGUGCAAAUUACUGGUGAUUUGGAUUGGUGCCUGAGAUUUAGAGAAUGGCUCGCAGCUUUAAUUUCUUUUUCCUUCAUUAUUACUGUUUUCAAAUUUUUUAUUGCUGGGUAUUGAUAAUUUGUAGUCUGUGAGGGCUUCAAUCUGUUGGAAUUUUGAAUGGUUAUUGCUUCAUCGGAAAUUGGGUGGUCCAAAUUUUGAAUUAGAAGAAACCCAUUUGAUUAAUAUUUUUGGUGGAUUGGCUCUCUCUGUGUUUUCUCUGUUAUUUCUUCCCCAGUUGGAAAGUGGAGGCCCCAACUUUGAGCUCAGAACUUGAAUUUCUCAAUAAUUCGUUUCUCUGCACUCUCAUCAGUCACUCUUGAUCCUCUCUCUGAGGAAUUGGAUUACACACAUGUGGGCUGAUCUAUCUUUCCUAAUAAAUUUCCCAUCUGUUUGAGGCUGAAGAGGAUGACGAGAAUAUAAGUGGUGAAUUGUAUUAUUAGGGGGAGGACAGAUUAUAUGAGAUUUUAUUGCUGUUAGCUUGAUGAAGGCCGACUGACGCUCCGGUUCGAAGAUGUGACUACGGGACAGAGGUUCAGGGCCGAAGGGGUAGAGGAAGACCUAGGAAAACUUUGGAAGAGACUCUAAGAAAAGACUUAGAGUACUUGGAUCUAACGGAGGACAUGACACAAAACCGAGCGCAAUGGCGUUCUAGGAUUCAUAUAGCCGACCCCACUUAGUGGGAAAAGGCUUUGUUGUUGUUGUUGUUGUUGUAGCUUGAUGAAGUUCUCGAUUCAUGACCAUGUAUUUUUUCAACUUCUACCAUUUGGUUUCUGUUGACUUUAAAUCUGAGUUGUAGUGAUGUUUGUGUUUUCUAAA